rnacentral:rRNA from 1 species
GACGGAAGGUGCAAGCGUUGCUCGGAAUUACUGGGCGUAAAGCGUGCGCAGGCGGCUUUGCAAGACAGAUGUGAAAUCCCCGGGCUCAACCUGGGAACUGCAUUUGUGACUGCAUCGCUGGAGUGCGGCAGAGGGGGAUGGAAUUCCGCGUGUAGCAGUGAAAUGCGUAGAUAUGCGGAGGAACACCGAUGGCGAAGGCAAUCCCCUGGGCCUGCACUGACGCUCAUGCACGAAAGCGUGGGGAGCAAACAGG